GACAGAGGGUGCAAACGUUGUUCGGAAUUACUGGGCGUAAAGGGCUCGUAGGCGGCCAACUAAGUCGGAUGUGAAAUCCCCAAGCUUAACUUGGGAACUGCAUCCGAUACUGGAUGGCUUGAAUCCGGGAGAGGGAUGCAGAAUUCCAGGUGUAGCGGUGAAAUGCGUAGAUAUCUGGAGGAAUACCGGUGGCGAAGGCGGCAUCCUGGACCGGCAUUGACGCUGAGGAGCGAAAGCUAGGGGAGCAAACGGG
rnacentral:rRNA from 1 species